UACGUAGGGGACAAGCGUUGUCCGGAAUUAUUGGGCGUAAAGCGCGUGUAGGCGGCUAUGUAAGUCGGGCGUGAAAUCCCACGGCUCAACCGUGGAAGUGCACUCGAAACUGCAUAGCUAGAGUCCUGGAGAGGAAGGUGGAAUGCUUGGUGUAGAGGUGAAAUUCGUAGAUAUCAAGCGGAACACCGGUGGCGAAGGCGGCCUUCUGGACAGUGACUGACGCUGAGACGCGAAAGCGUGGGGAGCAAACAGG
rnacentral:rRNA from 1 species